CACCUGUUGGCAACGUCAUUAUCAUACGGUGAGUCAUCAUUAUCAUACGGUGAGUCAUCAUUGUCAUACAUGAGUUAUCAUCAUUAUCAUACUUUGAGUUGUCCUUAUCAUACGGUGAGUUAUCAUCAUUAUCAUCAGGUUAGUAUCUAUCCGUCACAUAUGUGCAGGGUUAGGGUCAGAGGUCACCUGUGUGCAGGGUUAGGGUCAGAGGUCAGGGUGAGGGUCAGGGUCAGAGGUCACCUGUGUGCAGGGUUAGGGUCAGAGGUCAGGGCGAGGGUCAGAGGUCACCUGUGUGCAGGCCUGUUUGAGGCCGGUGAGUCUCAGCUGCAGUUCUCUGCGGUAGUUCUGAGCCGCCUCGAUGCUCUCCUUCGCCUCCUGGCGCAUCGCAUCGCCCUCCAUCCUGACUCACACAGACGCACACUAACACACACACACACACACACACACACACACACACACACACACACACACACACACACACACACACA